AUACAGAGGUCCCAAGCGUUGUUCGGAUUCACUGGGCGUAAAGGGUGCGUAGGUGGUGGUGUAAGUUUGAUGUGAAAUCUCCGGGCUUAACCCGGAAACUGCAUUGAAUACUAUAUUGCUUGAGGGUCGGAGGGGAGACUGGAAUUCUCGGUGUAGCAGUGAAAUGCGUAGAUAUCGAGAGGAACACCAGUGGCGAAAGCGAGUCUCUGGACGACACCUGACACUGAGGCACGAAAGCUAGGGGAUCAAACAGGAUUAGAUACCCUGGUAGUCCUAGCUGUAAACGGUGCACAUUUGCUGUAAGAGGAUUCGACCCCUUUUGUGGCGAAGCUAACGCGUUAAAUGUGCCGCCUGGGAAGUACGGUCGCAAGAUUAAA
rnacentral:rRNA from 1 species